UACGGGGGGGGCAAGCGUUGUUCGGAAUUACUGGGCGUAAAGGGCUCGUAGGCGGCCAACUAAGUCAGACGUGAAAUCCCUCGGCUUAACCGGGGAACUGCGUCUGAUACUGGAUGGCUGGAGUUUGGGAGAGGGAUGCGGAAUUCCAGGUGUAGCGGUGAAAUGCGUAGAUAUCUGGAGGAACACCGGUGGCGAAGGUGGCAUCCUGGACCAACACUGACGCUGAUGAGCGAAAGCCAGGGGAGCAAACGGG
rnacentral:rRNA from 1 species